rnacentral:lncRNA from 1 species
GUAGUUCCAGCUAAUGACAAGCAAGCCUCAAGACCAUAAGGAUUUGGGGGAAAGAUCAGGAGAGUUGAAGAAAGAAAGGGGUUGGGGGUGGGGGGAGAAAAUGAAAUACCCCAAGUAGAGAAGAAUUGGAAGAAACAAGAAAAGCCUGCUAAUCACACUGCUGUGGCUGUCACAGAUGGGUGUUUCUUCAGUGUUUACACCAGUACCAGAUGCCCUGAGAUGUGCUAAAUGACAUUCAGGAGUGGAUACAGAACUGACCUUUGAGAAACUUACAAACUCUGUGGACAUUCACACAAGAACAGAGAAGCUUCAAAAAUAAUCAGUCCUAAUGGACCAGGAAAAUGCAAGGAGGCAUGCCACACCCAACGGGUGGUUAUCAGCGGUGUCCUGUCAACCCUGAGGUGCUGAACAAAUGAUGUUCCACAGUGGCCACCUCCAGUCCAGGAUUAUUGAAUAUUUCUAUCAGCAAGAAGCAGUGCGCUUCCUGUACCGGGUGAGCCAGCCCGCAAUCAAGCCUAGGGUCUCGCUAUCACCAGCCUGUAUCACCGCCUCUCUCAUCAACCAAGGUGUAGGCCCACAUUUCACCUCCGAGGAAGGAAGACAAAUAUCUAGGACAGUAACCAGAGGCAGAGGGAUGGAAACUCAUUCCCCAGCUGUCUCUCCCAGAAGCCCCCUCCUGGGUUCACAGAGACUCAGACGUCUUGCUUCUUCUUCACCACAGACAACAGUGCUCAUAAAACUUCUAGGAAGACAGCAGGGGACGCUUCCAGGAAUCCUCAAAUGCAAGCUGCACGCUCAGCUCAGGGGAUGCUAGGAGACUCCCUGCCUGAGGUAGAAAGCACCCCCCCCCCCCAAAGACAGUCCUAAAGCUUUUAGAGACCCUGCUCAGCUUGGAGACUCCAUUUCUGAAGAGCCAGGUGACCCAGAUGGGAAACUGCCAGGAAACAAACAAAUGACUAGUCUUGGUCCCCAGGAAAGCGAUGGCAAGACUGCUUACCUAAGCAGGGGAAAGGGAGGGGGGCAGCAAACUUAGCGACUAUUCAUUUAGAGCGGAAUUAGUAAUAAAAUUCCAUCAUAAAAUGGAAUUUUCAAAAUGUUAGGUCCAAGAAUAUAGCCAUUUUGCUUCAUCCUCAGAAACCCCAUUGAUGCGGUUUUAUGACUAUGCCCCUGCCCCCACCCCUAGCAGUCCAUUCCUCACCAUAAACAAAUUUCAUCCCAGCAUUAGGGCUAAACAAUAUUCAUUAAGAAUCCCGCCAAAGUGCAACAUGUAAGUAAAUCAAACCUUUGAUGCUCUAUUUUGCAAAUUUCAUGGGCCACUAGGGAUAAUUAAAAGGGCAAUUAUAUAAAGUUGGUGCAGUUUUGAGAAACAAAUGACAUUUUCUGCUUUAAAGCACUUGAUAAUUUGAUAUUUUGCUAUUAGGGCCAUCAUGUGUACUUUUAUAGACAGGCCGCCAAAUAAACAACAAAUGUUCCUUAACAGC